rnacentral:rRNA from 1 species
GAUGAACGCUAGCGGCAGGCUUAAUACAUGCAAGUCGAGGGGCAGCGCGGGUAGCAAUACUUGGCGGCGACCGGCGCACGGGUGCGUAACACGUAUACAAUCUACCUUUAACUGGGGAAUAGCCCCGAGAAAUCGGGAUUAAUACCCCAUAACAUUGCGAGGAGGCAUCUUCUUGCAAUUAAAGCUCCGACGGUUAAAGCUGAGUAUGCGCGACAUUAGUUUGUUGGUGAGGUAACGGCUCACCAAGACUACGAUGUCUAGGGGUUCUGAGAGGAUUACCCCCCACAAUGGUACUGAGACACGGACCAGACACCUACGGGAGGCAGCAGUAGGUAAUAUUGGGCAAGGGACGCAAGUCUGACCCAGCCAUGCCGCGUGAAGGAUUGACAGCCCUCGGGGUUGUAAACUUCUUUUGUACGGGAAAAAACCCCUGAUCGUUUAUCAGGGCUGAUGGUACCGUAAGAAUAAGGAUCGGCUAACUCCGUGCCAGCCGCCGCAGUAAGAC